AUUGAACGCUGGCGGCAGGCUUAACACAUGCAAGUCGAGCGGGGAAGGGUAGCUUGCUACCUAACCUAGCGGCGGACGGGUGAGUAAUGCUUAGGAAUCUGCCAUUUAGUGGGGGACAACAUUCCGAAAGGAAUGCUAAUACCGCAUACGUCCUACGGGAGAAAGCAGGGGAUCUUCGGACCUUGCGCUAAAUGAUGAGCCUAAGUCGGAUUAGCUAGUUGGUGGGGUAAAGGCCUACCAAGGCGACGAUCUGUAGCGGGUCUGAGAGGAUGCUCCGCCACACUGGGACUGAGACACGGCCCAGACUCCUACGGGAGGCAGCAGUGGGGAAUAUUGGACAAUGGGGGGAACCCUGAUCCAGCCAUGCCGCGUGUGUGAAGAAGGCCUUAUGGUUGUAAAGCACUUUAAGCGAGGAGGAGGCUACUGAGACUAAUACUCUUGGAUAGUGGACGUUACUCGCAGAAUAAGCACCGGCUAACUCUGUGCCAGCCGCCGCCGUAAAAC
rnacentral:rRNA from 1 species